rnacentral:lncRNA from 1 species
GUCGGAACAAUAUCAAUGUAUCCAGUCAUUGCGUAAACCCCUGAGGGUUUACGCAGUAUAUAUUGGACGAUGUCCGUAGUCUUUCGGAACACCGGAUGUUAUUCGGAAUACAUCUGUUCUUUCCAUGGCCACCUUGCAUAUACAUGCGCAAUAGCUUAUUAAUUGACCUGUUGAAUAAGCAUUAGCAUCUAAAAGUUGCUAUAGAGAUAUGUUACAUAGGAUGCAUAAUUUAUUAUGACGCAAGCUACCUUAAUUAUCAUUUGAAUACUUCCUUGCACGCAAUUACAAGCUGGUAAUAUUUACUUUCAAUAUAUGCGUAGUUAUUUGAAUUAGAGUCAAACGUUGAAACCAGCUGUGUUUAGAUAUGAGAUAAGAUUUCAUGUAAGCAAUACGAUUUAUAUUCGAAACGAGAUUUGUUAACUAUAACAUCUAUAAAAGAAGUAUUAUUAUCAUUUCAUUUAAGAUUAUGAGUCUAGGGAAUAUGUACAUGAUGUACAAAGCAGGC